rnacentral:rRNA from 1 species
CGACCGGCGCACGGGUGCGUAACGCGUAUGCAACCUACCUUUAACAGGGGGAUAACACUGAGAAAUUGGUACUAAUACCCCAUAAUAUCAUAGAAGGCAUCUUUUAUGGUUGAAAAUUCCGAUGGUUAGAGAUGGGCAUGCGUUGUACUAGCUAGUUGGUGGGGUAACGGCUCACCAAGGCGACGAUACAUAGGGGGACUGAGAGGUUAACCCCCACACUGGUACUGAGACACGGACCAG